UUAAAUGUAUAUUUGGUUUAAAAGAGGGGAAGAGAAUGAAAGGGAGAAGUUUUAAUCAAAUAUAUAUUUAGUUCACAAGGGGAAGAGAGAGAUUUUAAAACUAAUAUAUAUAUUUACCAUUAAAAUAUUAUAAUAAUAGAAAAUAGAAAAGGAUGAAGAAUGCUUCAUCAUUAAAAGACAAAGAUAGAAAUUUUGUUAUUGAUUAUUUAUUAAUUUGUUACACACA
rnacentral:lncRNA from 1 species